UACAGAGGUCCCAAGCGUUGUUCGGAUUCACUGGGCGUAAAGGGUGCGUAGGUGGUGAGGUAAGUCGGAUGUGAAAGCUCGGAGCUCAACUCCGAAAUGGCAUUGGAAACUACCUUGCUCGAGGGUUGGAGGGGGGACUGGAAUACUUGGUGUAGCAGUGAAAUGCGUAGAGAUCGGGAGGAACACCAGUGGCGAAGGCGACUAUCUGGACCAGCACUGACACUGAGGCACGAAAGCGUGGGGAGCAAACAGG
rnacentral:rRNA from 1 species